GACUCCAUAGCUAAGUGGUUAUAGCAUGAGAUUGCAGUAGUCGCGCUGAAGUGAUUGUGUAACAAUCUCGGGGUCGCGUGUUCGAGUCACGCUGGGGUCU
rnacentral:tRNA from 1 species